GUCGAACGCUGGCGGCGUGCCUAAUACAUGCAAGUCGAACGCAGUGGGGACGGGUGAGUAACACGUGGGUAACCUCCCAUCAGAGGGGAUAACACUUGGAAACAGGCGCUAAAACCGAUAUUGAUGGAUGGACUCGGGGUGCAUUAGCUAGUGGGUGGGGUAACGGCUCACCAAGGCCACGAUGCAUAGCCGGCCUGAGAGGGUGAUCGGCCACACUGGAACUGAGACACGGCCCAGACUCCUACGGGAGGCAGCAGUGGGGAAUCUUCGACAAUGGACGAAAGUCUGACAGAGCAACGCCGCGUGAGUGAAGAAGGUUUUCGGAUCGUAAAGCUCUUUUGUUAGAGAGGCGGUAUCUAACCAGAAAGCCACGGCUAACUACGUGCCAGCAGCCGCGGUAAUUC
rnacentral:rRNA from 1 species